UUACUUGACGGGUUUCUGUAAAUUGUAUUUUAUAUUUCAGAAUAUAUCACUGUACAUUAAAUGUGACACUUCAUAGGUUUUUGUUACUGUAAGUCAAAUAAACAUCUAAA